rnacentral:rRNA from 1 species
CCAGACUCCUACGGGAGGCAGCAGUGGGGAAUCUUCCGCAAUGGACGAAAGUCUGACGGAGCAACGCCGCGUGAGUGAUGACGGCCUUCGGGUUGUAAAGCUCUGUUAAUCGGGACGAAAGGCCUUCUUGCGAAUAGUGAGAAGGAUUGACGGUACCGGAAUAGAAAGCCACGGCUAACUACGUGCCAGCAGCCGCGGUAAUACGUAGGUGGCAAGCGUUGUCCGGAAUUAUUGGGCGUAAAGCGCGCGCAGGCGGAUAGGUCAGUCUGUCUUAAAAGUUCGGGGCUUAACCCCGUGAUGGGAUGGAAACUGCCAAUCUAGAGUAUCGGAGAGGAAAGUGGAAUUCCUAGUGUAGCGGUGAAAUGCGUAGAUAUUAGGAAGAACACCAGUGGCGAAGGCGACUUUCUGGACGAAAACUGACGCUGAGGCGCGAAAGCCAGGGGAGCGAACGGGAUUAGAUACCCCGGUAGUCCUGGCUGUAAACGAUGGGUACUAGGUGUAGGAGGUAUCGACCCCUUCUGUGCCGGAGUUAACGCAAUAAGUACCCCGCCUGGGGAGUACGACCGCAAGGUUGAAACUCAAAGGAAUUGACGGGGGCCCGCACAAG